AUUCAGUUUUCAUUUACCUGGCUGGUUUAUACAUAGACAGUGGUAUACACCUAAGGUUUUAAGGCUUACAGUCUCUUAAUUAGUGUCAUUAGUGCUAUUGGAUUAUCAAACAUCUCAUUGGUGUUUAGAGAAGAAUGAAAAGAUCAAAGAGUUCAUCACCACAAAACAGUUUCACAAUGCGACGAACUAGUUCAACGUGGAGUAUUUUGGCCAGCAAGCGGAAGAGAAAGGGAUCGCCCGUGUUGACUCGUCAGGUUUCCGCCUCCGAUAACCUCCUGGCCGAUAUCAAUAAACUUGAUUCCAAAGGAAGAAGUCUUCUAUUUUUGGCCGCUAGGUGUGAUCAACCGGAAGUUGCUAUUCAGUUACUGGAUGCUGGAUGUAAUGCCAAUCUUGCCGACAGUGAAGGCAAUACACCUUUACAUGAGGCUGCAGAGUGCGGACACGUCGAGGUCGUCAAUAUUCUACUAAAGAAUGGUAGGUCAAUCAACCAAAGUCAGCUUUAGCCAAAAAUUUAAAAUUUAAGGCAAUUGAGACUUUAAAAGUGUAAAGUAAAAAAUUCGCUUAAUUUAGUUGGCUAUUUUGCUAAAAUGACAAAUAUUAUACAGAUAUGUUUUAUUUUGAUUUAGGUCAGUGCGACAUAAACGCAAAGAACCUGUUUGGUCAAACUCCACUAAUGCGUGCCGUGUUUACCGACAACCUGGAGGUCGUUAAAAGACUUGUAAAAGCAGGUGUGUAGUCAUAAGCAUUGACAAAUCAUCGUCUUACUUCCUCAUAAUCCAAGCAGAAUUUAUAAUGCAUUUAAAUACAUUCAUAACAUGUACACCAAUUCUUAGCCGCCCAAUAAAAGCAUGUCAAGUUUUGGCAAGGAGUCACUUAGUGAUUGUCGAAUUAUAUUUUUUCCCGGGUUUUUUUUUGUGUUUUAAGAGACACGAGCAGUAAAAUGACAAAGUGACAUUUAAUAGGGCAUGAGAUCCAUAAAUAUGUCCCAGCUGACGCGUGUAACCAUUUCGUCCUCUUUCUUGCAGGGUCAGACCUUCAUCGUGUGGAUAGUCUGGGGAAGUCGGCGCUAAUGAUCGGCCUUCAGGAGGGGGCGGAAAGAUCAUGCCUAUACCUCAUCAAAGCCGGUAGUGACGUCAAUAUGACUGACCACGAAGGUCAUUCUGUUCUAUUUUAUUCCGUCCAUUCGUCAUACCUUCAUACGUUAGACGUGGCCAAAAAGCUUAUUAAGGCUGGUAAGUUAUCGUUUUGUCCGACUUGACAUUUCAAUUAGGUCAACAGCUUUUUUAAGCCUCGUUGGUCAGUUCUUAGUGAAAAUAACGUAAUGAAAUGGUCAUAAAAAUGCAUUUAACUAAAAUACAGGUAAAUUGUUUAUGACAUUUUAUACACAUGUUUCCUUUAUAUUUUCCAGGUUGUGAUAUUUUAAGGAAUGCUUCCUGGUUAGUAGACUCUAAAAACGACCAAAAUUGUUUACUAUUGGAGGAUCCAAAAUUCCAUUCUGUGCUUCUCUCCAAAGUUGGCAUCAAAGAGAAACAUCACAAAAAACAAGACUUAAUUUCUACUUUAAAAAUAACAUUCCAGGGACGUUCAAAUCGGGAUUCUAAAUGUGCGACAUUAUAAAUAUUUUAUGAACCAUUUAUUGCAUGUAAUGAUGUAUUUCUUUCAUCUUAAUUGAUGAAAGAGACCGCUUUACCUAAAGUACAUGUACAUUAACAUGUGUUUGAGUGUCUAUGGACGCUACGCAGUAUCCAGUUUCGUUUUCUUUUGAUAUGGAUACAUACGUGCCGUUCAUUUCACUUUUUGUAUUUUUUAUUUUUGUAAAUCCACUGCAAGUCUAUAAAUAAACCUUAAUUAUCAUU
rnacentral:misc_RNA from 1 species